rnacentral:rRNA from 1 species
UACGAGGGGGGCAAGCGUUGUUCGGAAUUAUUGGGCGUAAAGGGUGCGUAGGCGGUCUGACAAGUCUGAUGUGAAAUCUCUGGGCUCAACCCAUAGUCUGCAUCGGAAACUGUCGGGCUUGAGUAUGGGAGAGGUGAGUGGAAUUUCCGGUGUAGCGGUGAAAUGCGUAGAUAUCGGAAGGAACACCUGUGGCGAAAGCGGCUCACUGGACCAUUACUGACGCUGAGGCACGAAAGCUAGGGGAGCAAACAGG